AGCAGAUAAAACCAGUGAAGUUAAGACAUGAGAAGCAGAACACAUCAGGUGCUGCAGAACCCUGGGACUAGUGUCACCAUAUGAGGAACAGAUUUGGAACAUGCCAAAAUUCACAUAAAGAGGCAUUUCGAGGAAGUCCACAGGUGCCCUGGGAGGGGACGAUCGACUUGAAGAAAUUACAGACACAAGCAAUCACAGCUUCAUUCACCUGAUUGGGUAAGACUUGUGUGCAAUUGUUGUUGGGUGCCCCCUUCUCCCUGGGCCCUUCCGAGGAGUGAACUAAUGAACACUGUUGAGUGUUUGCUGUGUACCAGUCACCGUGCUAGGUUCCGAAAGUAA
rnacentral:lncRNA from 1 species